GCGGCAACAGCUCAAAUUUGAAAUCCGGCCCUUUCAGGGCCCGAGUUGUAAUUUGUAGAGGAUGUUUCGGGGGCGGCGCCGGUCUAAGUCCUUUGGAACAGGGCGUCAUAGAGGGUGAGAACCCCGUAUGUGACCGGCAAUCAAUCCUAUGUGAAACUCCUUCGACGAGUCGAGUUGUUUGGGAAUGCAGCUCAAAAUGGGUGGUAAAUUUCAUCUAAAGCUAAAUACCGGCCAGAGACCGAUAGCGCACAAGUAGAGUGAUCGAAAGAUGAAAAGCACUUUGAAAAGAGAGUCAAACAGUACGUGAAAUUGUUGAAAGGGAAGCGCUUGCAAUCAGACUUGUCCGUGGGUGAUCAGCCGUGAUUCUUCGCGGUGCACUCGCCCGCGAGCAGGCCAGCAUCGGUUUGGGUGGCUGGAUAAAGGCCCCGGGAAUGUGGCCCCCGCUCAGGGGGUGUUAUAGCCCGGGGUGCCAUGCAGCCCGCCCGGACCGAGGACCGCGCUUCGGCUAGGAUGCUGGCGUAAUGGUUGUAAGCGACCCGUCUUGAAACACGGACCAAGGAGUCUAACAUCUAUGCGAGUGUUUGGGCGUUAAACCCACGCGCGGAAUGAAAGUGAACGGAGGUGAGACCCCUUUAGGGCGCAUCAUCGACCGAUCCAGAUGUCUUCGGAUGGAUUUGAGUAUGAGCAUAGCUGUUGGGACCCGAAAGAUGGUGAACUAUGCCUGAAUAGGGUGAAGCCAGAGGAAACUCUGGUGGAGGCUCGCAGCGGUUCUGACGUGCAAAUCGAUCGUCAAAUUUGGGUAUAGGGGCGAAAGACUAAUCGAACCAUCUAGUAGCUGGUUCCUGUCGAAGUUUCCCUCAGGAUAGCAGUAACGUUUUCAGUUUUAUGAGGUAAAGCGAAUGAUUAGAGGCCUUGGGGGCGAAACGCCCUUAACCUAUUCUCAAACUUUAAAUAUGUAAGAAGUCCUUGUUACUUAGUUGAACGUGGACAUUUGAAUGUACCGUUACUAGUGGGCCAUUUUUGGUAAGCAGAACUGGCGAUGCGGGAUGAACCGAACGUGAGGUUAAGGUGCCGGAAUGUACGCUCAUCAGACACCACAGCGAGGGUUGUAUUCAUUUUCGUGGUGUCUGACCCCGGGAGCCCCGGGAACAGUCCUUCGUUUGGCCUGGCCGCGGGCGGUCCGGCCUUGGCUCCGGCCAACACGGGGGGCGAGGUCCACGAUCUGCGAGGAACGCUACCACAGCUGUGGCUUACCCGCAACCGUCUUCGGAUGGUUCACAGAUUAAGCGUGGGCCGGCCAUCAUGCGUGAUGGCUCAAGAUAUGAUCGGCUUCUAGGCGGUCAGCUUAGAAACAAGGUGCAAAAGGUGUUGAUUCAUCUAGACAGCAGGACGGUGGCCAUGGAAGUCGGAAACCGCUAAGGAGUGUGUAACAACUCACCUGCCGAAUGAAUCAGCCCUGAAAAUGGAUGGCGCUCAAGCGUGCUACCCAUACCUCACCGCCA
rnacentral:rRNA from 1 species